GAGCACUGCGGCAGGCUCCCGAGUUCCAUAUGAGGGCUGGAAGUAGAGUGAGGCUUUGGGAAACAUCACAGGCGGAUGAACCAUCUACUGCACCGUAAUUUCCACUGCCAUUUUUACAACUAUUUGAAAAGCCAGGAGCCAUCACUUAGGAAGGACCUCACCACAGAGCCUCAACUUUCCUCGAAUCGUGCAGAGCCGACUGUUAAUUCUAACGUUGAAAAGGGCUGUGUGAUUAAAAUUUGAGCUCAUUCCUCUUCUCCAUUAUUAUAAAAAGGGGGUGACCCUGUAAAUUUACUCAAGCUGUUUAAACACAGAAGGCGUACAAGCACUCAGAGGCAGCAUGCCACAGACCAAGGGCGAUCAGGAAAGCUGCCUCGGUGACGCUGCAGCUCAGCAGCUUCAGCCUCACAAUAUGAAGGACUUUUAAAGAUGUACUGCAGUCACGCAGUAGAGGUCUCAUCAAUGUGACAUUGACUCCAGGAAAACAAACUAGCAGUGGGAGCAAGUACGAUGUGCUGAAAGGCAGCAGCCUCUGCGCUCUCGACUGAUACGUGGGUUUUCCUUUUUUUUUUUUUUUUUUUUUUCUGUUGUUCUGUUAGAAAUCAUUGACUGUUAAACAAAACUAAAACAGAA